rnacentral:rRNA from 1 species
UAAGCAUAUCAAUAAGCGGAGGAAAAGAAACCAACAGGGAUUGCCUCAGUAACGGCGAGUGAAGCGGCAAAAGCUCAAAUUUGAAAUCUGGCGCCCUUCUUGGGUGUCCGAGUUGUAAUUUGAAGAUGGCGACUGUGGGGCUGGCCUUUAUCUAUGUUCCUUGGAACAGGACGUCACAGAGGGUGAGAAUCCCGUCUGAUGAGGUGACCCAGCUCUUUGUACAGUGCCUUCGACGAGUCGAGUUGUUUGGGAAUGCAGCUCUAAGUGGGUGGUAAAUUCCAUCUAAAGCUAAAUAUUGGCGAGAGACCGAUAGCGAACAAGUACAGUGAUGGAAAGAUGAAAAGAACUUUGAAAAGAGAGUGAAAAAGUACGUGAAAUUGUUGAAAGGGAAGGGUAUUAGAUCAGACUUGGUGUGCGGUUGAUUAGCUUCCCCUUGUGGGUUGUGUACUCGGCGUGCGCUGGGCCAGCAUCGAUUCGGAGCGGCAGGAUAAUGGUAGGGGGAACGUGGCAGGUGUCUUUGGCAGCUGUGUUAUAGCCCUCUGCAGAUGCUGCCAGCCUGGAUCGAGGACUGCGUCUUUUAGACUAGGAUGCUGGCGUAAUGAUCUAAUAUCGCCCG